GGUUAAGCGACUAAGCGUACACGGUGGAUGCCCUGGCAGUCAGAGGCGAUGAAGGACGUGCUAAUCUGCGAUAAGCGUCGGUAAGGUGAUAUGAACCGUUAUAACCGGCGAUUUCCGAAUGGGGAAACCCAGUGUGUUUCGACACACUAUCAUUAACUGAAUCCAUAGGUUAAUGAGGCGAACCGGGGGAACUGAAACAUCUAAGUACCCCGAGGAAAAGAAAUCAACCGAGAUUCCCCCAGUAGCGGCGAGCGAACGGGGAGCAGCCCAGAGCCUGAAUCAGUGUGUGUGUUAGUGGAAGCGUCUGGAAAGGCGCGCGAUACAGGGUGACAGCCCCGUACACAAAAAUGCACAUGCUGUGAGCUCGAUGAGUAGGGCGGGACACGUGGUAUCCUGUCUGAAUAUGGGGGGACCAUCCUCCAAGGCUAAAUACUCCUGACUGACCGAUAGUGAACCAGUACCGUGAGGGAAAGGCGAAAAGAACCCCGGCGAGGGGAGUGAAAAAGAACCUGAAACCGUGUACGUACAAGCAGUGGGAGCACGCUUAGGCGUGUGACUGCGUACCUUUUGUAUAAUGGGUCAGCGACUUAUAUUCUGUAGCAAGGUUAACCGAAUAGGGGAGCCGAAGGGAAACCGAGUCUUAACUGGGCGUUAAGUUGCAGGGUAUAGACCCGAAACCCGGUGAUCUAGCCAUGGGCAGGUUGAAGGUUGGGUAACACUAACUGGAGGACCGAACCGACUAAUGUUGAAAAAUUAGCGGAUGACUUGUGGCUGGGGGUGAAAGGCCAAUCAAACCGGGAGAUAGCUGGUUCUCCCCGAAAGCUAUUUAGGUAGCGCCUCGUGAAUUCAUCUCCGGGGGUAGAGCACUGUUUCGGCAAGGGGGUCAUCCCGACUUACCAACCCGAUGCAAACUGCGAAUACCGGAGAAUGUUAUCACGGGAGACACACGGCGGGUGCUAACGUCCGUCGUGAAGAGGGAAACAACCCAGACCGCCAGCUAAGGUCCCAAAGUCAUGGUUAAGUGGGAAACGAUGUGGGAAGGCCCAGACAGCCAGGAUGUUGGCUUAGAAGCAGCCAUCAUUUAAAGAAAGCGUAAUAGCUCACUGGUCGAGUCGGCCUGCGCGGAAGAUGUAACGGGGCUAAACCAUGCACCGAAGCUGCGGCAGCGACGCUUAUGCGUUGUUGGGUAGGGGAGCGUUCUGUAAGCCUGCGAAGGUGUACUGUGAGGUAUGCUGGAGGUAUCAGAAGUGCGAAUGCUGACAUAAGUAACGAUAAAGCGGGUGAAAAGCCCGCUCGCCGGAAGACCAAGGGUUCCUGUCCAACGUUAAUCGGGGCAGGGUGAGUCGACCCCUAAGGCGAGGCCGAAAGGCGUAGUCGAUGGGAAACAGGUUAAUAUUCCUGUACUUGGUGUUACUGCGAAGGGGGGACGGAGAAGGCUAUGUUGGCCGGGCGACGGUUGUCCCGGUUUAAGCGUGUAGGCUGGUUUUCCAGGCAAAUCCGGAAAAUCAAGGCUGAGGCGUGAUGACGAGGCACUACGGUGCUGAAGCAACAAAUGCCCUGCUUCCAGGAAAAGCCUCUAAGCAUCAGGUAACAUCAAAUCGUACCCCAAACCGACACAGGUGGUCAGGUAGAGAAUACCAAGGCGCUUGAGAGAACUCGGGUGAAGGAACUAGGCAAAAUGGUGCCGUAACUUCGGGAGAAGGCACGCUGAUACGUAGGUGAAGUCCCUCGCGGAUGGAGCUGAAAUCAGUCGAAGAUACCAGCUGGCUGCAACUGUUUAUUAAAAACACAGCACUGUGCAAACACGAAAGUGGACGUAUACGGUGUGACGCCUGCCCGGUGCCGGAAGGUUAAUUGAUGGGGUCAGCGCAAGCGAAGCUCUUGAUCGAAGCCCCGGUAAACGGCGGCCGUAACUAUAACGGUCCUAAGGUAGCGAAAUUCCUUGUCGGGUAAGUUCCGACCUGCACGAAUGGCGUAAUGAUGGCCAGGCUGUCUCCACCCGAGACUCAGUGAAAUUGAACUCGCUGUGAAGAUGCAGUGUACCCGCGGCAAGACGGAAAGACCCCGUGAACCUUUACUAUAGCUUGACACUGAACAUUGAGCCUUGAUGUGUAGGAUAGGUGGGAGGCUUUGAAGUGUGGACGCCAGUCUGCAUGGAGCCGACCUUGAAAUACCACCCUUUAAUGUUUGAUGUUCUAACGUGGACCCGUAAUCCGGGUUGCGGACAGUGUCUGGUGGGUAGUUUGACUGGGGCGGUCUCCUCCUAAAGAGUAACGGAGGAGCACGAAGGUUGGCUAAUCCUGGUCGGACAUCAGGAGGUUAGUGCAAUGGCAUAAGCCAGCUUGACUGCGAGCGUGACGGCGCGAGCAGGUGCGAAAGCAGGUCAUAGUGAUCCGGUGGUUCUGAAUGGAAGGGCCAUCGCUCAACGGAUAAAAGGUACUCCGGGGAUAACAGGCUGAUACCGCCCAAGAGUUCAUAUCGACGGCGGUGUUUGGCACCUCGAUGUCGGCUCAUCACAUCCUGGGGCUGAAGUAGGUCCCAAGGGUAUGGCUGUUCGCCAUUUAAAGUGGUACGCGAGCUGGGUUUAGAACGUCGUGAGACAGUUCGGUCCCUAUCUGCCGUGGGCGCUGGAGAACUGAGGGGGGCUGCUCCUAGUACGAGAGGACCGGAGUGGACGCAUCACUGGUGUUCGGGUUGUCAUGCCAAUGGCACUGCCCGGUAGCUAAAUGCGGAAGAGAUAAGUGCUGAAAGCAUCUAAGCACGAAACUUGCCCCGAGAUGAGUUCUCCCUGACUCCUUGAGAGUCCUGAAGGAACGUUGAAGACGACGACGUUGAUAGGCCGGGUGUGUAAGCGCAGCGAUGCGUUGAGCUAACCGGUACUAAUGAACCGUGAGGCUUAACCUU
rnacentral:rRNA from 1 species